AACGAACGCUGGCGGCAGGCCUAACACAUGCAAGUCGAGCGAGGACUUCGGUCCUAGCGGCGGACGGGUGAGUAACGCGUGGGAACGUGCCCUUUGCUACGGAAUAGCCCCGGGAAACUGGGAGUAAUACCGUAUGUGCCCGAGAGGGGAAAGAUUUAUCGGCAAAGGAUCGGCCCGCGUUGGAUUAGGUAGUUGGUGGGGUAAUGGCCUACCAAGCCGACGAUCCAUAGCUGGUUUGAGAGGAUGAUCAGCCACACUGGGACUGAGACACGGCCCAGACUCCGACGAGAGGCAGCAGUGGGGAAUCUUAGGCAAUGGGGGAAACCCUGAUCUAGCCAUGCCGCGUGAGCGAUGAAGGCCUUAGGGUUGUAAAGCUCUUUCAGUGGGGAAGAUAAUGACGGUACCCACAGAAGAAGCCCCGGCUAACUCCGUGCCAGCAGCCGCGGUAAGAC
rnacentral:rRNA from 1 species